UACGUAGGUGGCAAGCGUUGUCCGGAAUUACUGGGCGUAAAGGAUGUGUAGGUGGAUAUUUAAGUGAGAUGUGAAAUCCCCGGGCUUAACCUGGGGGCUGCAUUUCAAACUGGGUAUCUAGAGUGCAGGAGAGGAAAGCGGAAUUCCUAGUGUAGCGGUGAAAUGCGUAGAUAUUAGGAAGAACAUCAGUGGCGAAGGCGGCUUUCUGGACUGUAACUGACACUGAGACAUGAAAGCGUGGGGAGCAAACGGG
rnacentral:rRNA from 1 species